UACGUAGGUGGCAAGCGUUGUCCGGAUUUACUGGGCGUAAAGGGCGUGCAGGCGGUUUGUUAAGUGCAGGGUGAAAGCUCCCGGCUCAACUGGGAGAGGUCCUUGCAUACUGGCGAACUCGAGGGAGGCAGAGGAAAGUGGAAUUCCCGGUGUAGUGGUGAUAUGCGUAGAUAUCGGGAGGAACACCUGUGGCGAAGGCGGCUUUCUGGCCUGCAACUGACGCUGUAGCUCGAAAGCGUGGGGAGCGAACCGGG
rnacentral:rRNA from 1 species